rnacentral:rRNA from 1 species
CCUCGGAGAGUUUGAUCCUGGCUCAGGACGAACGCUGGCGGCGUGCCUAAUACAUGCAAGUCGAGCGAACAGAAGGGAGCUUGCUCCCGGAUGUUAGCGGCGGACGGGUGAGUAACACGUGGGUAACCUGCCUGUAAGACUGGGAUAACUCCGGGAAACCGGAGCUAAUACCGGAUAGUUCCUUGAACCGCAUGGUUCAAGGAUGAAAGACGGUUUCGGCUGUCACUUACAGAUGGACCCGCGGCGCAUUAGCUAGUUGGUGGGGUAAUGGCUCACCAAGGCGACGAUGCGUAGCCGACCUGAGAGGGUGAUCGGCCACACUGGGACUGAGACACGGCCCAGACUCCUACGGGAGGCAGCAGUAGGGAAUCUUCCGCAAUGGACGAAAGUCUGACGGAGCAACGCCGCGUGAGUGAUGAAGGUUUUCGGAUCGUAAAGCUCUGUUGUUAGGGAAGAACAAGUGCGAGAGUAACUGCUCGCACCUUGACGGUACCUAACCAGAAAGCCACGGCUAACUACGUGCCAGCAGCCGCGGUAAUACGUAGGUGGCAAGCGUUGUCCGGAAUUAUUGGGCGUAAAGGGCUCGCAGGCGGUUUCUUAAGUCUGAUGUGAAAGCCCCCGGCUCAACCGGGGAGGGUCAUUGGAAACUGGGAAACUUGAGUGCAGAAGAGGAGAGUGGAAUUCCACGUGUAGCGGUGAAAUGCGUAGAGAUGUGGAGGAACACCAGUGGCGAAGGCGACUCUCUGGUCUGUAACUGACGCUGAGGAGCGAAAGCGUGGGGAGCGAACAGGAUUAGAUACCCUGGUAGUCCACGCCGUAAACGAUGAGUGCUAAGUGUUAGGGGGUUUCCGCCCCUUAGUGCUGCAGCUAACGCAUUAAGCACUCCGCCUGGGGAGUACGGUCGCAAGACUGAAACUCAAAGGAAUUGACGGGGGCCCGCACAAGCGGUGGAGCAUGUGGUUUAAUUCGAAGCAACGCGAAGAACCUUACCAGGUCUUGACAUCCUCUGACAACCCUAGAGAUAGGGCUUUCCCUUCGGGGACAGAGUGACAGGUGGUGCAUGGUUGUCGUCAGCUCGUGUCGUGAGAUGUUGGGUUAAGUCCCGCAACGAGCGCAACCCUUGAUCUUAGUUGCCAGCAUUUAGUUGGGCACUCUAAGGUGACUGCCGGUGACAAACCGGAGGAAGGUGGGGAUGACGUCAAAUCAUCAUGCCCCUUAUGACCUGGGC